rnacentral:rRNA from 1 species
GACGAACGCUGGCGGCGUGCUUAACACAUGCAAGUCGAGCGGUAAGGCCCUUUCGGGGGUACACGAGCGGCGAACGGGUGAGUAAUACGUGGGUGACCUGCCCUCAGCUCUGGGAUAAGCCUGGGAAACCGGGUCUAAUACCGGAUAUGACUCCAUGACGCAUGUUGUGGGGUGGAAAGCCUUGUGCGGCUGAGGAUGGGCCCGCGGCCUAUCAGCUUGUUGGUGGGGUGANGGCCUACCAAGGCGACGACGGGUAGCCGGCCUGAGAGGGCGACCGGCCACACUGGGACUGAGACACGGCCCAGACUCCUACGGGAGGCAGCAGUGGGGAAUCUUGCGCAAUGGGCGAAAGCCUGACGCAGCGACGCCGCGU